CAUUGAGCCUUUGCAACUGAGCAAGCUGUUCUGCAGUGGCCUGUUCUCCUGCUGCAUGACUGUCCAUGAGCUUGCUGGCCUGGCUUUUGGUAAGUUUGUCUAUUUCUUCCAUGGAUAAUCCCCGCGAGUGAAGAGCUGCACGCUGCCUGCCUGAUGCAAGUUUUUUAUUGUAUUUGUUCUUGAAGUCAUCAUUGUCUGCUGACCUGUUGCUUAGGAGUCUUGAGCAUUCUCCGAUUGUGGUAGGCCAGUCACAUGGCAUGAUGGACAUAUCAUUAAGGUAUGCCUCUUAUUUUGGGGUUCGUUCGUCAUCGGGGCGUCGGGUGGCGCGACAUUGUGUUGUGAUGCUGUUAGGCGACGGUGCGUGAAAACCAAGGCUUUGGUACUGCUGGACGGUUAAUCCCAUGGCUUGUGCCUGGGACUGAUGACUCGCAGCUGCUGUUAAAGGGGUGACGGUUGAUGACAUUGCAGGUGGGACGUGGGACAGGUGUCUAAGGUCAUAGAACAUAGUUUAUGAGAGGCAAUACGACAGUAGCAGCAAUAACAUAAGCAGGCUCAGCAGUAGUCUGAAGCAUGGUGUUAAAGGGGGUACAUAAGCCUUGUACAUGUGUGGUGUUAGUUGGAUGUCGACAGGCAGUAUGUGCAGCUGUGACAGCACUACAUAUGCUUGCCCUGGUCGGUUCAUGUUUGUCAAGUCAACUAUGACGGGAUCAGUGAUGGUAUUGCCCUUGUUUGUCAAGUCAACUAUGACGGGAUCAGUGAUGGUAUUGCCCUGCACCUUGUGUACAGUUCGUGCAAAAGCAGGCACAACAGGGACUAUUUUGCGCUCAAGCUUGGCACCAUUCUUGUAUUUGACCUCGCAUAUCCUUGGCAAGCGGAUUAUGGAUUGGGAGUCCUCAAGAGCUGGAGUGACAACAUGGAUUCGGUGGUUUCUUGCACGAUAGUAUCCAUUGGCUGCCUUGAAAGGCAAACGCGAAAUGUGCUGUCAUUGCGCCCAUGCCCAGGAAUUUUGCAGCUUUUCCCGUGGUUGCACAAACAGUCACAUGUUUGCCCAUGGAUGCAGCUUUGCUUAUGAACGCACGCAUGACAUUUGUUUUGCCGUGUCCUCCUGGCCCUUGGAUGCGCCACACGCUUGCGUUUCCGCUGCUGGUUCUCAUUGGUUGCAGAUGUACCUGUCUUGACAGUGCCAACAGUAAGAGGGGUUUAUUUCAGGUAUUAAAGCAGCUGUGAUGCACGGACAAGCGACUUAUAUACCGUUCAUACAGAUUCAUAUUGCGAAGGGCACGGUAUGUACAAGAACAUGUACAAUGGUUAUUACUACAAGAGAC
rnacentral:lncRNA from 1 species